rnacentral:tRNA from 1 species
GCUCUUGUAGCUCAGUUGGUUAGAACACUUGUUUAGUAAGCGGGAGGUCUUGAGUUCAACUCUAAACAAGAGCA